rnacentral:misc_RNA from 1 species
UCCUCGUUGACCGAGGCAGUCUCGCAUGAAAAAUACAACAUACGACAAGGGUUGCGCUCGUUGCGGGACUUAACCCAACAUCUCACGACACGAGCUGACGACGACCAUGCAGCACCUGUCACCGGUCCAGCAGGCUGACUUCUCUGUUUCCAGAGAAUACGACCGGGAUGUCAAGUCCUGGUAAGGUUCUUCGCUUAAUGUCGAAUUAAACCACACGCUCCACCGCUUGUGCGGGUCCCCGUCAAUUCCUUUGAGUUUUAGCCUUGCGGCCGUACUCCCCAGGCGGGGUACUUAACGCGUUAGCUUCGAUACCUAGGGGGUCUAGCCCCCGGAUACCUAGUACCCAUCGUUUACGGCGUGGACUA